rnacentral:rRNA from 1 species
AUUGAACGCUGGCGGCAGGCCUAACACAUGCAAGUCGAACGAGUGGCGGAAGGGUGAGUAAGGUCUGGGAAAGUGACCGAUGGAGGGGGAUAACUACUGGAAACGGAAGCUAAUACCGCAUACAAUCGGAUGGGCCCAGAUGGGAUUAGCGAGUUGGUGGGGUAACGGCUCACCAAGGCGACGAUCCCUAGCUGGUCUGAGAGGAUGACCAGCCACCCUGGAACGGAGACACGGUCCAGACUCCUACGUGAGGCAGCAGUGGGGAAUAUUGCACAAUGGGCGCAAGCCUGAUGCAGCCAUGCCGCGUGUAUGAAGAAGGCCUUCGGGUUGUAAAGUACUUUCAGCGAGGAGGCGUUACUCGCAGAAGAAGCACCGGCUAACUCCGUGCCAGCAGCCGCGGUAAUUC